rnacentral:rRNA from 1 species
AGAGUUUGAUCAUGGCUCAGAGCGAACGCUGGCGGCAGGCCUAACACAUGCAAGUCGAGCGCCCCGCAAGGGGAGCGGCAGACGGGAGAGUAACACGUGGGAACGUACCCUUCAGUUCGGAACAACCAAGGGAAACUUUGGCUAAUACCGAAUACGUCCGUAAGGAGAAAGAUUUAUCGCUGAAGGAUCGGCCCGCGUCUGAUUAGCUAGUUGGUGGGGUAAUGGCCCACCAAGGCGACGAUCAGUAGCUGGUCUGAGAGGAUGAUCAGCCUCACUGGGACUGAGACACGGCCCAGACUCCUACGGGAGGCAGCAGUGGGGAAUAUUGGACAAUGGGCGCAAGCCUGAUCCAGCCAUGCCGCGUGGAUGAUGAAGGCCCUAGGGUUGUAAAGUCCUUUCGGCGGGGAAGAUAAUGACGGUACCCGCAGAAGAAGCCCCGGCUAACUUCGUGCCAGCAGCCGCGGUAAUACGAAGGGGGCUAGCGUUGCUCGGAAUCACUGGGCGUAAAGCGCACGUAGGCGGACUCUUAAGUCGGUGGUGAAAUCCUGGAGCUCAACUCCAGAACUGCCUUCGAUACUGAGAGUCUCGAGUCCGGGAGAGGUGAGUGGAACUGCGAGUGUAGAGGUGAAAUUCGUAGAUAUUCGCAAGAACACCAGUGGCGAAGGCGGCUCACUGGCCCGGUACUGACGCUGAGGUGCGA